AUUGAACGCUGGCGGCAUGCUUUACACAUGCCAGUCGAACGGCAGCGGGGAGGAGCUUGCUUCUCUGCCGGCGAGUGGCGAACGGGUGAGUAAUACAUCGGCACGUGUCGAGAAGAGGGGGAUAACCACCCGAAAGGGUGGAUAAUACCGCAUAGCUUCUGCGGAAGAAAGCUGGGGACCUAGGAAUAGGCCUAGCGCUUUUUGUGCGGGCUAUGCCGGUUUAGCUAGUUGGUGAGGUAAAGGCUCGCCAAGGCGAAGAGCUGUAUCGGGUCUGUGAGGAGGAUCGGCCGCACUAGGACUUAGACACGGCCCAGACUACUACGGGAGGCAGCAGUGGGGAAUUUUGGACAGUGGUGGCAACCCUGAUCCAGCCAUGCCGCGUGUAUGAAGAAGGCCUUAGGGUUGUAAAGUACUUUUGUUAGGGAAGAAAAGCCAGCUGUGAAUAAUGGCUGAUACUGACGGUACCUAAAGAAGAAGCACCGGCUAACUACGUG
rnacentral:rRNA from 1 species